AUGGUCCCUGCCAUACCGCCGCCGCCUCCGCUCGCCGUCGCGUCCUCUCCUCCUCCACGCCCCCUUGGUGCGCCGCCGCCGCCUCCUCCGCUCGCCGUCGCGUCCUCUCCUCCUCCACGCCACCUCCCACCCCUCUCCAGCCAGCCUACUCCCUCCUCCCUUCCCUCCCCACUCCUCCCAUGUCCCUCGUUGCUGCACCACGCCCUCCCCCACCUUCAAAGGCAGCCUGGACCUGAUCUGGAGGAAGAAGAAGAGGGCACAAGAAGAGGAGAACAAGAAAGCAUCCCCAACUUCCCCCUUCACCAAAUAUUUGUGACUUGA
rnacentral:rRNA from 1 species